rnacentral:rRNA from 1 species
AUUGAACGCUGGCGGCAGGCCUAACACAUGCAAGUCGAACGAGUGGCGGACGGGUGAGUAAUGUCUGGGAAACUGCCUGAUGGAGGGGGAUAACUACUGGAAACGGUAGCUAAUACCGCAUACCAUCAGAUGUGCCCAGAUGGGAUUAGCUUGUUGGUGGGGUAACGGCUAACCAAGGCGACGAUCACUAGCUGGUCUGAGAGGAUGACCGGCCACACUGGAACUGAGACACGGUCCAGACUCCUACGGGAGGCAGCAGUGGGGAAUAUUGCACAAGGGGCGCAAGCCUGAUGGAGCAACGCCGCGUGUAUGAAGAAGGCCUUCGGGUCGUAAAGUACUUUUAGCGGGGAGGCGUUACCCGCAGAGGAAGCCCCGGCUAACUCCGUGCCAGCAGCCGCGGUAAUAC